AUGAGUGAAUUAGACAACAUGGAAAAUUGUUUUUCAUUCCGAUAUUUUCUUGUAGUAAAAUAGCUUUUCUUCGUCAUAUGUCUCGUUCCAUAACGUGUGAGAACAAUUUUGUCAACAUGUAACCGAUAUGUUUCUGAACUUAGAACUUUAACUUGGUGGAUAGUUUAUAAUUGGCCGAUGAUGUACAGCAUUUUGUAGUGACAUAAUAUUUAAUGCGCAAAAGAAAAUAAGUUUGAUGUGAUUAAACCAUCGUUUGUAACUGAAAAUGUCUUCACCACAUCAAAUCAUCCGGAAAUUGAUUCAGCAAUCUGCCAGGUUACUAUCAAAAUUUCAAAUAAAGCUCAACAACCGAUUCUGAAAUCGAUUGAGCUCGGUAGGUUUGAUUACAUAACAUUAGAAUGAUCUAUAAUUUAAAACCAAUAAUUUGCAGGUAACGUUUGGUUAACAUACAUCUUCACACCGAUAAAUACCUAUUUUUUAUUUAGAACUAUACCGAUAUUAGAUUUUUUUCAGUACCAGUAGAAAGUGGAAGUACUCCGGAGCAAACAGAGAGAAAAUCGUUCCUAUGUUCUCUUUUUUCUUCUUCCGUUAGCAAACUGGAGUAAAAAGCAAGUAUUUUUUGCUUCUGUUUGCUCCGGAGCAACUUAAGAAUUCUGUGUACUAGAACCAACCUAUUAUACAAAACCAUCUGACAACGCUGCUCUAAAGUGAAAAGUGCUCUUCAAACAUCGAUAACAUCUUUUUUGUUUUUUCCAGUUUUCUCUAUAUAGGUAUACCUAUCUGAUAUGCACGGCUCACAGAAAGGUGUAUGCCCAAAAGGUAUUUGUGCGGAUCUGCGAAUUCGGUUUUUGUGGACUAAUUCGACCAAGGGCUAUGAUGUAGCAGCGGUGGAGAGUAAAUCCAAUCAUACGGCUUCAUCCCACCCCGGCAGCAGAUGAGCGCUGGCGAAUGUUCUCAGCCACCUGGAGGAGGAGGUACAGUGCGGAAGAAAUGUUACCAGAUUUCGCCGAUCUGGUACCUGGACUUUUUUGAUAAUCUCAGAGAUUGGGUGUGCAGAUGGGCGGUUGGAGUUCUGGGAGGGAACGACUGGUAACUUUAAGGGUAUAUAUGAAGACAAAAACACCCACAACAAUGGGGUAACGAACAUAAAGCUCGCCGGUGACAAAGUGAUAGUCGCACGGUUGAGUGGACGAAUCGAUUCUCUGAGACUGGAAACGUACACGCAAGGUUGUCAGAUCGAUUGGGGAUUUACGUCUGCAUAUGGGCGAACCCACGUACGCACCGGUUCGGCAGGAAGCAUUAGUUUAUUUCAGCAAUCCGUCCACAACGUUGCCAGCUCAAUAUAACGCAUCCGAGGAGGAGCUUCGAUGUAUCCUGGAGUUUCACCAGCAGGGUCACCGGUGACAUGUUUGGAACCACCUAUUGCAAUUCACCCUAAACGGCCAUUGCGGUCCUAUCACAUGUAUUUUCAUAGACCAGUGGCAGGCCGAGAUGGGAGCAUCUGGUCGCCAGGAUGGUGUGCUAUGUGUGUGGGACUUGAACUAGAACAGCUCCUACAAGACAAUGGUUACGAGAGUGUUCAGCAGACCGUUGGCAAGGGAGUGGAUAAUUUUUAUAGUGUCGAUUGUUGAUAACAGGAUCAUUUAAUGGCGCCGCAAUUUAAUA